CAUAGAGUGCCUGAAAAAGGAUUAUUUUGAUAGAAUAAAUCAUACAGGUCCUCCCCCCUGUCUCUAUGG
rnacentral:tRNA from 1 species